ensembl:lncRNA
CUCAGGACAAGAGAUGGAAUCUGCAGUGUCUUUUAUGACCUCGACCUGGGGCCACACUGUCACCUCUGUGACAGUCUGUUGGGUGCACAGACAAGCCCUAGAAGGACAUGGGGAGCCUGCACGAGGGUUUGAACACCAGGAGGCAGACAUCACGGGGGCACAGGCUGCCCUCUGGCCAUGAUCCGCUCCCUCUCAUGAGCAAACGCGCCCACGCCCUCCAGGCCCCAGAGUCUCAUCCUGUCACAGCAGCAGCUCGAGUCUUAACAACGUCGUGGGUCUCCUGUGGACCUUUUGGAGUUCAUUCCAUUGGUCAGACACCAAGUUCACGGUCUCUUUGAGGGUCGCCAGCAGCUUUCGGGCCCUGCCGUCUGCUGUCUGCUGUCUGGAGACCUGGGGCCACGGUUCAUUCUCUCCCGGGUUCUGAGUGUCCUGUGACACAGCAGCUGCCCCCCCACAGCCAGUGACCCAGGAGACGGAGAGCAGCGAGACGUGAGCCACCUGUCCUUACAACCUGAUCUUGGAAGUGACAUGGCGUUGCGACCAGGCCCGCCACUGCUGCUGUGCAACUCAUGUGAACACACGGAAGCUGGAACCUUCCGUAGCACACGGCCAAAACACAUUUCCCAAAUAUGCUCACACUGGCGAGGAAACAGACACAGCAGGUGGGGAGCUGGGAGCCCCCUUACUUGCCAGGGCCACAAGAAUGUCGAAGGCAGACCACGUGCCUCCCACACCUGACCGUCUCGGGAAGCGGCUGGUGGAAGGAUCUAGAAGGUGGGGACCCUGAUACGGUGCAGCCGAGGAGCAUGGACGGGCCGUGGGUCAGCGUGAUGCAGACUUCCCCAGUGGUCCUCAGGGGCAGGCACUGGGGAGGGGGGCAGGCUGCCAGAGCAGCAGCAUCUUGGGUCACCGAGGAUGCGAAGGUGACUGGAGGACUCGGGGCCUCUGUGGGGCGUCCUCCACUUCCCAAAGCUGGCGAAGUUUGGGUGAGGACGAAGCCAGAAAAUCAGAAGCUGCUGCUCACGCUCUGGGAAUGGGUGCCCCUCGGAUGUCAGCUCCUGCUGGGCUUCUGGGAGGGAGCACGAUCCCUGCUGGAUGGUAAAUCACCAAAAACGCGUCAACCCACCCGUACAGGAAGGUUCCCAGCCAGGGGGAGAAGAGAGCUUCCUCGUUUCCAGGAGUGAAGCCAACGUCCUCUCUUCAUAAGCAAGAACCACAGAUGAACAGAGAAAAUACAUUUUCAGUAGCCAGCCGUCAUUGAGACCUUUCUAGGUACAAAACCGUCUUCCGAUCAGUUCACGCACAUUAAUACGCUGAGUCGUCUCCUCAGCCCGGGGAGGGAAGCCCCUCAGGACCCAUUGACAGAUGUGGAAACAGAGGCGCCAGAAGAGGAACAGCACCUGAGGGCGCCGGCUGGCGCGUGCAGGGCUGAGCUUCACGGGCGGCAGCUUCAGAGGGGUGGGUCCCUACGUGGGGCACGUCAGGGUGCAGGCCAGGACCUACCCCUCCUGGAGGGCGGAAAGAGGAGCCUGUGAGUCAGUGAGCCAACAGCCACGGCCUGCUGGUGACAGGCAGACCCAGAGGACAAAGGUAUCCGGGGGCUUCUCCCUUCCUGAAGCGCCAAAACUCAGAAACCAUCAACAGCAGUCUCCUCUGGGUGCGACAUGAAGAAAGAAAAUUAAUGCAGCUGCUCAGACUCAAGGACUCGCGCUCCUCCCAGCGCCCCUCACCUCUGAAUCACCACCUCUGGCUGAGGACAGGGGCUCCUGGGCUCAAUAUCGUGAGGCUCUCGGCUGAACGGAGUGAUCUGGAUCAUACUCCUUUGCCUAAAACUAAAUGCACGAUGCGACCCGUCCCUUUUCAAAUAAAGUAGGACGAACCACACACCCCGUCAGUGCGGACGGUGGUGUAACGAGGGCGAAGGCCCCAGCACCAGGGUCUUGGGCAGGAACUCUCCCUGGACACACCGUGCUCUGCACACGCCCGCUUUCUCCCCUGGGAUGCCCUCUCCUGUCUUGAUGUGGACUUUCACUGGUUAUUCUUCUCUCUGAUAAUUAAAUUAUUUUCAUAGUGUUUU